rnacentral:rRNA from 1 species
AUUGAACGCUGGCGGCAUGCUUUACACAUGCAAGUCGAACGGUAACAGGUUAAGCUGACGAGUGGCGAACGGGUGAGUAAUGCAUCGGAACGUGCCCGAUCGUGGGGGAUAACGCAGCGAAAGCUGCGCUAAUACCGCAUACGAUCUGAGGAUGAAAGCGGGGGACCGUAAGGCCUCGCGCGAUCGGAGCGGCCGAUGUCAGAUUAGGUAGUUGGUGGGGUAAAGGCUCACCAAGCCGACGAUCUGUAGCUGGUCUGAGAGGACGACCAGCCACACUGGGACUGAGACACGGCCCAGACUCCUACGGGAGGUAGCAGUGGGGAAUUUUGGACAAUGGGCGAAAGCCUGAUCCAGCAAUGCCGCGUGCAGGAAGAAGGCCUUCGGGUUGUAAACUGCUUUUGUACGGAGCGAAAAGGCUCUCUCUAAUACAGGGGGCUCAUGACGGUACCGUAAGAAUAAGCACCGGCUAACUACGUGCCAGCCGCCGCAGUAAGAC